UUUUUUGUUUUUGGUAAAAAUUAUACAAUCAUCUUGCUUUUAGCUUAAGCAUCAUAUAAACUAAACGGAACAAGUAGUAUGAUAUCAAUGGUGAUUGGUGGCCAUAAUAUUUUAUACGUUAUGGUUGCGUUGCGUAUACCAGAUCAAUCAUUAAUCAAACAUUCAACGUAUAAAUAUACGUAACAGAUACGUAAUAUUCAAUAUCAGAACCGAGUCAGCGGAGUUUUGUAAAGUA
rnacentral:lncRNA from 1 species